rnacentral:rRNA from 1 species
GAAUCCCGUCUUUGACACGGACUACCGAGGCUUUGUGGUGCGCUCUCAAAGAGUCGAGUUGUUUGGGAAUGCAGCUCAAAAUGGGUGGUAAAUUCCAUCUAAAGCUAAAUAUUGGUGAGAGACCGAUAGCGAACAAGUACCGUGAGGGAAAGAUGAAAAGAACUUUGGAAAGAGAGUUAAACAGUACGUGAAAUUGCUGAAAGGGAAACGCUUGAAGUCAGUCGCAUCGUCUGGAAAUCAACCUCGCUCUUGCUGGGUGUACUUUCCGUCCGAUGGGUCAGCAUCAGUUUCAGCUGCUGGACAAGGUCUUUGGGAGCGUGGCAUCUCAGGAUGUGUUAUAGCCCUUGGGCAGAUGCAGUGGCUGGGACUGAGGAGCUCGGCGCGCCGUGAGGCUGGGACGCUUGUCGUCCACACCAACGCGCCUAGGAUGCUGGCAUAAUGGCUUUAAUCGACCCGUCUUGAAACACGGACCAAGGAGUCUAACAUGCCUGCGAGUGUUUGGGUGGAAAACCCAUGCGCGCAAUGAAAGUGAAGGUUGAGAUCCCUGUCGUGGGGAGCAUCGACGCCCAGACCAGACCUUCUGUGACGGCUCUGCGGUAGAGCAUGCAUGUUGGGACCCGAAAGAUGGUGAACUAUGCCUGAAUAGGGUGAAGCCAGAGGAAACUCUGGUGGAGGCUCGUAGCGAUUCUGACGUGCAAAUCGAUCGUCAAAUUUGGGUAUAGGGGCGAAAGACUAAUCGAACCAUCUAGUAGCUGGUUCCUGCC